AUUGAACGCUGGCGGCAGGCCUAACACAUGCAAGUCGAGCGAGCGGCAGACGUGUGAGUAAUGUAUGGGGCCUGCCCGAUAGAGGGGGAUAACUUCUGGAACGGUUGGCUAAUACCGCAUACUAUCGGAUAACCCAUAUGGGAUUAGCUAGUAGGUGUGGUAAAGGCACACCUAGGCGACGAUCUCUAGCUGGUCUGAGAGGAUGAUGGGCCACACUGGGACUGAGACACGGCCCAGACUCCUACGGAGGCAGCAGUGGGGAAUAUUGCGCAAUGGGCGCAAGCCUGAUGCAGCAAUGCCGCGUGUAUGAAGAAGGCCUUAGGGUUGUAAAGUACUUUCAGUGGGGAGGCGGUACCCGAAGAAGAAGCACACGCUAACUUCGUGCCAGCCGCCGCGGUAAUAC
rnacentral:rRNA from 1 species